rnacentral:lncRNA from 1 species
UACUUUCCAUAAUAUACAGUAACACAACAGAUUUACAACAGCAUUACUGAGAACAGAAUUAUCUGGGCUAUUUGCCAUCUGCAUUUCAAGCUUAAAUAUCAAAGGUCAGUCAUUAGGUGCCUGAAAUAAACAUGCUUUACUACUGAGGUAAACAUUUUCAAUGAAGAACAUCUGGCUGAUUUUCAUUCAGCACAAUGACAUUGUUUUUCUUUAUUUAUGGGUUGAAUGUGCAACUGGUAUACAAGCAAUAGUGUCAAGCUUGCUUUCUAAUUAAAUCAUAUAACUUGUAUCCAUUUUAUAUUAUUAAUACUGCAUUACUGUAUAUUUGUAUACAUUAAUUAUAAUGCUUUUAUCUAAGAAAUUACACUUGUGCCAUCAGCUUUAUAACCAUUGGAAUUCACACUGUAAUCUCAUCGAGGGAUUGUAAUUCCUAAAGGAUAAUUCACAGACACGUCCAUGCACUGGCAAUAAAAACAUUCCAUUGAUCCUCCACAAUUGUGGAAGGAGCUAUAUAUAGCUAACAUUAUUGUGAGCAUAUGCUGUGCCUGCAGGAGGAUCUGAUUAGACGAGAUGCUUGGAACAAUUCCACGAAACAACAAAUUGAGAUAAUGAGUGCACUGAAUAACUAAAGCCUUGCAGACAUUUAUGGACAUGCUUAAAUUCAUGCACACUGCUAAUCCCAUUUGAAUCAGACUUUGCCUUUGCAUAGACAACACAGAUCCAAGUUAGAUGCUAGGUAUUUAUAUUUCAUAUCAGUAGAGAAUCAGUGCACCCUACAGUUGUUAAAAGUUUUAUCUAUUUACCAGCCCUCUGAGAUGGAAAGUAAUGCAUUUGUUCUGAAGUCAUAAACAAAAGGAGAACAGCUUUUUUUUUUUUUUCUAAAUCAUUGCUAACAAUUUGAUUGGUUUUGCUACCUUGAAAUAAUCCCAGUAAGUAUGCAAUAUAAAGUCAUACCUUGAAUCCUUCAGUAAAUACUCUGCAAUCUGCUUAUGGAGUAAGUACUCUGCAAUCUGCAAUCCACAGGAAGAUAUUUCUCAUCUCCUUUCUCAGAUAAGAACUAUCUAAAACAGGAGAUUCUGGGAGAUGCAUUCAGCCAUGGAUUUCAAAUUCUUGACUUUCAGAUGAAACAUCAUCCUAUCACUUCAAAAAUAAGUUUGGGAAUGAGUGUAGAAAAUCUUUCCAAAAUGUACAGCUGCAAUAAAAAAGAAAAAAAAUAUAUUAAAAACUGAAAUGAUGAUAUGAUGACAAUAUAAUAGGUUCU